AUUUAAAUAGCUUAGAGAAUAAAGUGUAACAUUGAAGAUGUUAAGAUGAUAUAAAUAUCUUUAAAUA
rnacentral:tRNA from 1 species